AUCGAACGCUGGCGGCAUGCUUUACACAUGCAAGUCGAACGGGAACAGGCCGCAAGGUGCUGACGAGUGGCGAACGGGUGAGUAAUGCAUCGUAACGUGCCCAGUCGUGGGGGAUAACUACUCGAAAGAGUAGCUAAUACCUCAGACGAACUAUGUAUGAAAGCUGGGGACCGUAAGGCCUCGCGCGAUUGGAUCGGCCGAUGUCAGAUUAGGUAGGUGGUGGGGCAAAGGGUCUCCAAGCCAACGAUCGGUAGCUGGUCUGAGAGGACAAACAGCCAGACUGGGACUGAGAAACGGCAGAGACUCCUACGGGAGGCAGCGGCGGAGACUUUUGCAGAAUGGGGGAGAGGCUGAUACAGCAAUGCCGCGUGAAGGCAGAAGCCGCUAUGGUUCUAGACUGAUUUUGUACGGAGCGAAACGGCUCUGGUUAAUACCCGGGGCUAAUGACAGUACCGUAAGAAUAAGCACCGGCUAACUCCGUG
rnacentral:rRNA from 1 species